rnacentral:ribozyme from 1 species
AGGCAGUCCCUCUUUUUGAGGAGAAGCCAGCCAGGGAAACACAUUCUUAAUGGAUGGAAAAUUAACUGGC